rnacentral:snRNA from 1 species
GUGCUCACUUUGGGAGCACAUAUACUAAAAUUGGAAUGAUACAGAGAAGAUUAGCAUGGCUCCCGUGCAAGGAUGGCAUGCAAAUUUGUGAAGUGUUGCAUAUUUUG